AUCAAGCUGACGAGUCCCAAAUAGGACGAAACGUGCGUCCUAGAA
rnacentral:hammerhead_ribozyme from 1 species